UAAAGAAUUACCGCUGCCGAAGACAGCAGGUGCCGCAAGGCAUAAGCAUUCCGAUGCGCCUGCCGAGGAGAGGGAGUCUUUUGAUAGAGAUUUCUUGUGUCCUUUUGUCUGAGCAGACGAAGGGCUUUUUUAUUAU
rnacentral:sRNA from 1 species